GACGAACGCUGGCGGCGUGCUUAACACAUGCAAGUCUAGGGGGCCCAGCAAUGGGUCACCGGCGAACGGGUGCGUAACACGUGAGCGACCUACCUUGAGAUGGGGGAUAGCCGGCCCAACGGCCGGGUAAUACCGCAUACGCUCAUCGGGCUUCAUGGCCUGGUGAGGAAAGCUUUAGCGUCUCUAGAGGGGCUCGCGGCCUAUCAGCUAGUUGGCGGGGUAACGGCCCACCAAGGCUAUGACGGGUAGCUGGUCUGAGAGGAUGGCCAGCCACAUUGGGACUGAGAAACGGCCCAGACUCCUACGGGAGGCAGCAGUGGGGAAUAUUGCGCAAUGGUCGAAAGACUGACGCAGCGACGCCGCGUGGAGGAUGACGCCUCGGGU
rnacentral:rRNA from 1 species